AGUGGAUGGGGAGCAACCUAGUUGUGCGUGUGUAAAGGUAGUGCCAAGAAAAGCGGUGAUCAUGAUGAAAAUCAAUUCCCGGUACCCGAAACCGACACAGGUGGGCAAGUAGAGAAUACUAAGGGGCGCGAGGUAACUCUCUCCAAGGAACUCGGCAAAAUGACCCCGUAACUUAGGGAGAAGGGGUGCCACCGAGAGGUGGUCGCAGUGAAGAGGCCCAGGCGACUGUUUAGCAAAAACAUAGGUCUCUGCAAACUCGAAAGAGGAGGUAUAGGGGCUGACGCCUGCCCAGUGCCGGAAGGUUAAAGAAGUUGGUCAGUCUUAGGAUGAAGCUAGCGACUGAAGCCCCGGUGAACGGCGGCCGUAACUAUAACGGUCCUAAGGUAGCGAAAUUCCUUGUCGGGUAAGUUCCGACCCGCACGAAAGGCGUAACGAUCUGGGCGCUGUCUCGGAGAGAGGCUCGGCGAAAUAGGAUUGUCUGUGAAGAUACGGACUACCUGCAUUUGGACAGAAAGACCCUAUGAAGCUAUACUAUAGCUUGGAAUUGUGUUCGGGCUUCCUGUGCGCAGGAUAGGUGGGAGGCGUAGAAGGUAUUCUUGUGGGGAUACUGGAGCCAACGGUGAGAUACCACUCUCAGGAGGCUAGAAUUCUAACUUAAUUAAGGACAGUUUCAGGUGGGUAGUUUGACUGGGGCGGUCGCCUCCAAAAAGGUAACGGAGGCGUACAAAGGUUCCCUCAGACUGGUUGGAAAUCAGUCGAAGAGUGCAAAGGCAGAAGGGAGCUUGACUGCGAGAAGUACAGUUCGAGCAGGGUGGAAACACGGUCUUAGUGAUCCGACGGUGCUGUGUGGAAGGGCCGUCGCUCAACGGAUAAAAGUUACUCUAGGAUAACAGGCUGAUCUCCCCCAAGAGUUCACAUCGACGGGGAGGUUUGGCACCUCGAUGUCGGCUCAUCGCAACCUGGGGCGGAAGUACGUCCCAAGGGUUGGGCUGUUCGCCCAUUAAAGCGGUACGUGAGCUGGGUUCAGAACGUCGUGAGACAGUUCGGUCCAUAUCCGAUGUAGGCGUGAGAAUAUUGGGAGGAGCCUUCCUUAGUACGAGAGGACCGGGAAGGACGCACCGCUGGUGUACCUGUUAUGAUGCCAAUUGUAAACGCAGGGUAGCCAAGUGCGGAGAGGAUAACCGCUGAAAGCAUCUAAGUGGGAAGCCCACCUCAAGAUGAGUAUUCUGGUGUAAGGUCACGGGAAGACGACCCGUAAAUAGGCACGAGGUGGAAGUGCAGAGAUGUAUGAAGCCGAAGUGUACUAAUAGACCGUCGGCUUGAC
rnacentral:rRNA from 1 species